rnacentral:ncRNA from 1 species
UAGGCGAGUUCCGAAAAGCCUUAGAAAGAGUAGGAA